rnacentral:lncRNA from 1 species
GAAAAAAUAGAAAAAAAUCUGAAAAGAAAAUUUUGGUAAAUUAAUAUCUCUAUAAAUUAAUAAAAUUUCAGAGUCCCAACAUUAUUAAUUUAUAAAGGUUUGACUGUAUUCAGAAUGAAAUUACACAAAUGGUAAACGCCCGUUAAGUCCGGAUCAAGACUGGUAUAGUACAUUAGAGCCAGUCUCUUACAUGCGGAAUUUAACUUUUCCUUCACGAAAUCUAGACGCAAAUCUCCUC